CUAUAACAGUCCAAAGUCCGGAUUGGGGGCCAUUUGUGACCCGCAGCUUGUUUUCUUUUGUAUUGGUCCGUGGCUUAUUCCAAAAACCAAAUUAAACUUGGCUCCGCAUCACAACAUUACAAAGGAUGAGCUAUUAAAGGGAUAGUUGUAUGACAUCCCCAUCAGCAGUGUUGUGCAUGAACAGUGACAGUUUGCCUUGGGCCCCCAAAUGACUAAAUAGGCCCCUGUUGCCAAUAUACAGUCGUGCCCCCCCCCCCAUUGCGGUUUUCAAAAAUGAAUUACUUAAAUGAUUGCUGUUUUGUGGUAGACGAUGGCCUAUUAUUCAUCAAAACAUACUACAAGACAAGUCAUGUCGUAUUCUGGUCACCAGGUGUCAGUAAUGUUACAUUGAUGAGACAUUGCCUUAGAAUAGAUUAUCUUCACACUGCAUGGAGUCAGCCAUGGCAUGUUCCACAUUAUAGAAAGAAAAAAAAAAUCCUCCUCCCAUUCCGUGUGGAAGUGGGAGGAAUUUGGCUUCUUUGUCUUUCUUUCCCAUUCCGUUUGAAACACUAAGUUUAGAACAAAUAAAUUGUAGGCCAACUCGUUAGAUUGUGGGGAGCAUGGUGGCAUAGUGAAAGACAUGGGUUCAAAUCUCCGUUGGGCAUCUCUGUGUGGAGUUUGCAUUUUCUUCCUCACACUUUCUAAAAACAUGCAUGUUGAUUAAUUGGCGACUCUAAAUCGUCCGUAGGCAUGAAUGUGAGUGUGAGUGGUUGUUGGGCUCCAGCAUAACGCCGCAAUCCUAGUGAGGAUAAGCGGCAUGUAAGAUGGAUAGAUGGCUGGAUAGUUACAGUAUGUCCCUGCAGUGAUCUCGUAGCCUGCGCAUUAGUGUUGGGCAAUGUGGUGUAAACAAAAGUGUAAAGGGUGUUAUUUCAUGUCUAGAGGGCGCUAAUAAUUGUAAAAAAAAAAAAUUUAGAAAGUCAAACAGGUCUUCUAUGCUCUAACUAUGUGAAUAUUCCAUUUAUUAAUAUUGAAUCCUACUUUGCGGAUAUUCGCUUGUACACAGAAAUGUCAUACGUGUGUUAAGAGUGGCCACUGCCACGGGUACUGGACCACAAACGCAGAGACGAGAGAGUUUGUAACAAAAAGGUGUCCACAAAGUGGGAAACAACACAAAACCACAAAGUACAACACAAAAAUCACCCCGACCUCGUCACGGGGUUAGAGCUAAGAGCUAAGAAUGCUGCUAGCACGGAAAACAAGCAGGGAGGAAAAAAAUAGAACUGCAAAAAGGUAGCAGAGAGGAAAAAAUGCUAACAGAAAACGCUGCUGAGAACCAAGCAGGAAGAGCAGGUCCAAGCGACACUCACCACUGCAGGAAAAAAGCCCUGAGGGAAAAAUGAGGUACGGCAGAUGUGAAAAGGACCAGAAAGUAGCUAGACUCAAAGGCACUGUGCUGAGAGGAGGUAACAAUCUGGCAACGAGUGUAGGUGAGACUGCAGUUCAAGAAGGCUAGCAGGUAAUUGCCCACAGGUGUGAUAAUUGGCUCCUCCUGCUAGGCUUGGAGGUGUACUGCAACAUAAAACCGAAAGAGGGCAGCAGAGCAGCACACGGAACAUGACAAUCCUGAAGGGGUGGGCGCAUGCGUAAACGGGAAGGUGCUUGCCACUGAUGUUCUUCCGGUGAGGAAAAGCCAGCGUUUUUGUUGGUUUUUUUUUUUACUUUAUUGACAUACACAAACAGCAAUGCCGGCUAGAGCUAGAUUUACAAACAAGUCAAAUGCAAUAUAUUUGUAUGCUCUGCUGAAUGAAUGAAUUUGACUGCCAAAAUAGUGGCUUAUAUCCCUAACCUCACCAGGAGGUGAAAUAUCAGAACUUUACCUGGAGAAGAAUGGGGUGCAUGUACUUCAUAUACAGAUUAAAGGUAAAGAUAUGUUUUAAAAAUAAAUAUAUGAGACUAAGAAGUAUCUGAAAACAAUUUGAAAACAUGUUUUUUAACCAAAGGAAUUCUUUUCUUCUGUUUUUUUUGUUAUCGUCUGAAUGAGCAAGUUUGAUUAACAUAAAAAAAUAGUUUAACAAGGGUUUCAGGAUGCCCGCUGAUGUUGAGGAAGUCUUGCAUUUGCAACAGUCAAGAGACCGUCUCAACACACACAACACACCUCCGGCCUUCAAAAUAAGAGCGCUCUGUGCCACAUCCUGUGGGUGUCUCAAGCUAUAGAAUACAAUAGUGCAGCUAGUACAGUACAUAUACUAAAUAAUGUUCAAAGGAGACUCAAAAGGCCUGAGGGAUACGGUACUAAAUGUUCCAAAUGAUAUCAAAUGAUUUUUAAAGUAUGAAUUAGUAUGAAUUAAACCAUGAAUUAAGCAAUUUGCAACCAUAAGUGGAUGUCCUCUGAAGACCAGCAGCAGGACACCUAAUUCUUAUCACUAACAUUGAUACUGCUGUAAGGUUGUCACAAGAAUCGAUACUUGGACACCCAGUCGAUGUCAAAAAAAGAGUCUCUUUAGAGUCUCCAAUUAAGCUAACAUGCAUGUUUUUUUUUAAUAAAGUACAGCAAACAAAGCAUAAGUGACUCCGACAAAAACAUUUCAAUUGUCAUAUCUGAUACGUCAUUAGAUGGGUUUAAAAUGGCUUUCAGUGGCAAAAAAUAAACUUUUAGAAAUGAGCAACCAGCUUACCUGGCAUGCUGCAGUUUUGGGGAAGCUAUAUAGCCUAGGAUAGUCACAUGACUGUCACACGACAACAACUGCAAAAUGUUUUGUGUGUCACCGAAGGGCUUAAUGAGUUAAAGCGGGGGUGUCCAAACUUUUUUCAGCGAGGGCCACAUUCUGAAAAAUGAAAGGACGCAAGGGCCACGUUGAUAUUUUGUAUUAAUUUUGGCACUCCUGUGAUUCCGUAGUAGAUAUGCUAACGCGUUAUUUCUAUUUCAAGAAAAAACUGCACCUCAAAAGUGUAUUAUUAAUAUGACAUCCACUCUUUUUUACACAUUUUUGCUGUUUAUUAUUUUCCUAAUAUUUCAACUUUCUUCCAAAAUAAUAAAUGCUCUUUUUGUAAUAUUAUUCCCAUAUUUUGACUUUAUUCUCUUAAUAUUUCCCUAAGCUAUUUUUCUAAAAAUUAUAGCUUGUUUUUUAAUAUUUCGUCUUACAACACAUUUUAAAUAAAACAUUUUUUUUCUUUAAAAUUUAAACUCUACGCUAUUAAAAUUACAUUAUUUGUUUCUCAUAUUACAAGUUUGUCAUAAAAGAGUGACUUUUUUCUUGUAAUAUUUUCACUUGAUUCUCAUAAAAUUGAAGCUGUUUUUUUCCCCAUUUCUGUUUUUUUUUUUUUUUUUAAUUUUCCAACUAUUUCAACUUUGUUCUUGUAAAUUUUCUUCUCAUAAUAUUAUGACUUAAUUCCCAUAUUCUGGCAUUCCAUAAUAGUGGAACUUUUCCCCAACUUAAUUCUCAAAAAAAUAAAACUUUUUUCUCAUAUUACCACUUGAAAAAAAUGUUAUUUUUUCUUUAACAUUUCAACUUAAUUCUACUAAUAUAAUGUUAAAUUACGAUUUUUUUCUUGUAAGAUUACAACUUUUUUCUCUUCAUAUUUUGAUUUCAUUCUUGUAAAAUGACUGCUGAUUUUUUUCCCCAUUUUUCCUGUUAAAGUAUAUUUUUAGAAUGGGCCACGGACCAAUCAAAAAACAGCCGCACUUUAGCCACCCCUGAGUUAAAAUCAAGCAAAAGGACACAUUGUCCUGAUUCGCCUUCGACAUUCUCCCAACAUAGUUUGUCUUAUACUCCAAAGUGACUCACAGUGGUCAGUAGACAAACGGAAAACGACGGACCUUAUGCUUUCGCAUAUCUUCAAUAGUUUUGGUGUGUCACGUGGUUCUGUCUGUCUAGGAGACAGGUUGUAAGUUUGGUGGAGAACAUUGUAUUUAGUAUGCACGGGUGUAGAGGGGCGUGGUCACAGGUGGACGUGUACGCUUACGUACGCGGAAGCAAUAAAUAGCGCACACUUGGUUGUGCCGUACAUUUAUCUGGCCAUCCCGCGCGGACAAUAAUUCAGCUAAACGCCCCUAAACCGUUUCCCAUUCAUCUUCAAUGGUAGUGAAAAACCACUAUGGAUGUAAUAUACUUUUGGCCAGGAGUGGCGCUGUGGCGCUCAGUGCCGUUCAGGUAAACAGCAUAACAAGCUGCCAAACACGGUAAGCUAGUAACAUAGUCUGGGGUGUGGAUGGAAGUUUAUAGACAAUUUAUCUGCAAAUGUUCAUUAUUGGCGUUAACUUAUAAGCUCCUAAUAAUACAAUUUUAUACUUUUUUGUUCUAUUACACUGUAGCCUUCACUUCCAUGAAGAACUGUCUGUUCUUGUGUGUACAAGCUCACAUUGCUAUUGCAUAGCCUUGCUAUGAUAUAGCCUGCACUUGCAGAAGCAGCAGCGGCUCUCCACCUCUGUUGCCACCACCACCACUUUUGCUGAGAGUAUGGGUGUGUGUUUUUAAAGUUAUACUGCAUACAGUGUAUGUCGUAUAUUUUCUAAUGUGCCCAUCAUAGCCACUCUUUUCUUUAUAGCUAAGGAUGAAGAUGAAGAGCUGGAGAAAGCCACGCUCAGCAUCUCUCCAACCAUACUCAGUGGCUCUGCUCCACCAGCAUCAGCUGCAGAGAUGCCAGGUCUUCAGGUUCAAAGAUAAAUUCUUAAAUAAUGAAAUUCUUAAAUAAUGCCCUGCCAAGAAAGGCAUUUUGGGACUGCAUGUGUGUGUUCUUGUCACGUUCUGUUUUUGUCCUUUCCUUUCAUGGUCACAGUCCAAGUGACUAUGAAUUGAUACGGUCUACGAGAGGGCGAGUAUCAUUUUAAUACAUACUUUUGAAUGAAUGAAAUGGUGAGUGAUGUUUGCAUGGUAACUCCUGAAGCACGUGUUUGCAGUGAGCCAUUUUGCUUCUCCUGCUGCAGUUACUUUUAUAUUUGAUAUGGACUGACCAUCACACACAAAAAAUUCUGAUUCAUAUAAAUUAAGCCAAGCAUUCAACUAAGCAGUAGACGUAACAGUUUGUUGUGAGUCUACAAACGACUCCGAAGCUACAAUACAGUAGACGCCCCUACAACGGAAAUAAUCCAUUCUGAGAACCUUUAUGUUGUAGGGAUUUUAUGUUAUACGAAGCGUAAAAUACAUGUAAAUAGCCUAAUCCGUUCCAAGAUCUUCCCAAACUCACCCCUUUGGCCCUUCAAAAUAUUCAAAGUCCACCAAAUAUGGUGGGAAAAUAUAAGAAAACGUUAGCAUGAACAUAAUAGAAUAACAUUCCAAAAUAAAAUAAAGUAAUAAAUAAGAUUACUGUAAAUGAAUCAAACUGAAAAACAAAAACAAUCCUACCGUUCACAGGAGCACGAGUGGAGGCAGGAAGGAGGAGGAGGACUAGCCUGAGUCGAAACGCGACUCAAAGAGUCUAAGAGUCAGCUGGUCUCACAGACAAACGCACACGCACUACACGAUAAUGCUGUGUGCAAAAUUUUAAUUUGUAACAACUUAAUUGUUUAAGUUAGUUUCAGGGGGACUACGAAGAGGGAGGAGGUUGAAGGGACAAGCCUGUCUCUCACACAAACUCACGUACGUGCUGUAUAACUCAGCCAAUGAGAUGAGAGCGGAGGCGGUGCCCCAAUAAUCAGCCAAUGAGAGCGUGAAGCGUCAGAAGGCGUCACCAAGCGCUAAACAAAUCGAAUUUCUGAACUUGCACCGACUUGACGCUUUACGUUAUAUGGAAUUUUUUUUUUUUUUUUUUUUUUUCUUCUCUUUUUUUCUUCUUUUUACCUUGAUGCUUGUUAUAAAGCAAAUUUGGAGCGACCGGACCGGAGCAGGAGAGGACAGAGAAGAAGAGAAAAGGAAAAAGGGGGGGGGGGGGCGAGAGGGGACAAAAACAAAAAAAAGAGAGACAAGAGACAAGGACAACAGCAGCAACAACAACAAUUGUGACAGAACAACAGAAACAUACAGAACGACAUCAGCAAAUAAAUGUCCGUGACAACUAUAAAGACGAACAAGGAUAAAGGACAAAUCAAUAUCAACAACCACAAUGACAAAGCUGUCAAUGACAAUCAGACAUAAUAGCAGUCAUGAAAUGAUGAACUAUGACAGUGAUCACAAUGACAAUACUGCAUUGAAACAGUCGCACACAAUAGCAGUCAUGAAAUGAUGAAUUAUGAUAGUGAUCACCAUGAUAAUACCGCAUUGAAACAGUCACACAUAACUGUAGUAAUGAAAUGAUUAUCCAUGAUAGUGAAUAGAAUCAAAGUUACUGUAAUGCACAUCAUUGUAAAAAAAAAAAAAAAUACAUAUACACACAUAUAUACAUACAUACACAUACAUACACAUAUAUAUAUACAUAUAUAUAUAUAUAUACAUAUAUAUAUAUAUAUACACACACAUACCGCACAUACACACAUAUAUAUAUAUAUAGUCAUACUGCUGAUAUCACCGUCGCUGUAAUAAAACCAACAACAUAAUAACACCCUGGAUAACUCAGUGAGUAAUGUGGGGAAGUACGUAUGUACUGUGAGUGUGCAUAUGUACAGGUAUCUCUGUAUGUAAGGAAGACUUCAUAUAUAUAUAAAGGUGCAGGAAUGUGUGGGCGUGUGAUUGUCACUGAGAGUGCAUGAAAGGAAAGGGGCCGCCUUCCACCUCCCAGAGAGUCCCGCCCCAAAUAGCAAGGCCGGGCCCCGGCCGCCAGAAGGCCACCAGGCCCAUAGGGGCAGGCAGCACAAAGAUCAGUGCCCCAAGAGCCAGCCCAGAGAGCCCCCCCCCCGGGAAGACCAGUAAGGGGCCGAAGAGAGGUAAUCCCAGCCAAGGACAGGGCGCCAGCGGGCCGGAGGACUGCCAACCCCUGAGACCAGCGAGAGAUCACACCCCACAAAGGCAGACGGGUACCGGGGGCCACAAACCGGCAGGCCCAGAGACGCCUCCACAGCCGGAAAGAAGCCCGCCCGCGCCGGAAGCGCCAAUUCCCGCCCACCGCCACCCCCACCCCCAGGGAGCGGAGCCCGGCCCGCCCCGGGCCAACCCCCGCCCGACCCCCGACACAGGGCCGCCCCGCCAAGGGAUGCAGGAGGCACACCCUCCACCCACCCGGCGGAGGCACGGGCGGCAGAGAUGUAUCGCCCAGCACCUGACCCCACGGAGCAAACCCCUGUAUGCCCCCCCCCAAAAUAAAUAACUAAAAUAAAUAAAUAAAUAAAAAUACACACACGCACGCACAUACACACUCCUACGCACCCACACACACGCACAUAAACACUCCUACGCACAAACACACCCCUAUGCGCACGCUCAUACACCCUCUUACUUACUCAAGCGCGCACACACACACACACACACACACACACACACACACACACACAGUGGUCGACUGCCCGACACCCGGAAGCCCCACCCUAUCCCCCGUUGGUAACCCAAGGAGCAGCGGAGCCGGGGACCCCGGGGUCCCAGACAUACGACUCAGAACCCAGGGGCGGAGAGCGCAGACCGCCGGGGAGCAGGAAGACACCCGGCCACACCCCCCCAGCGGUAGGACGCCGCCAGCGAGGCAGACAGGGGAGUCAGCGAGGAGGAGAGCGGGAAACCGAGCAGGCAGGCGGGAAAACGGGCGAGCAGCCAGGCGAACCACCACACAGCGCCAACCGACACCCGCGGGCCAGCAAACCCCGAAGAGAGAGCGGGAGCACCACACCCCAAGCCGCAGGGAGGCCAAGCACCAGAGCCGAGAAGGCAAGACCAGCAGCCGACCAGCCGACGGCCCCCACAAACCACCAGAAGCCAGACCAGCCACAUGCCACCAGAGCCGACAGCGCACCACCCGCGCACCGGAGCCCCACCCCCGACAAGCCCACAGACAGACCGGGGGAGGCGAGGACACAGACAGCGGCCCGGCAGCGCACAAAGCGCAACGGCGACAGACGCCCAAGCGCCCGGCAGAGCACGACCCCCCCCAGCGAGCCCGGCCCCAGGGCACCCGCCCCCCCACCCCCACCCCGCCACCCAGGCCCACAGUACCCGCAAGCAUGACCAAGCCCAACCCACCAGCUGGCCCGGCGCCCCAGCAGCCGCCACAGCGCAGCAACCACCGGCCGCCGCGACAGCACACGGGCCACCCGAAGCACCAGCACCGCCCCCCGGAGACCGCCGAACCCGCCCCAAGAGCGCAGAGGCGCCCGCGGCACGUGUCAGUCCAGGGGGGGCACCGCAAGCCGCCCCCCCCCGGCGCAAGCCCCGGCAUCAACAGGCCCCAGAGGGCCACCCCAGGGAAGGGCAGGCGAACCAGACAAGGGCACCCCACAGGCCAGGCCGCCCCGGGCGAGCCACCGCGACGGCCAGGCCCCCGGCCACACCGCCGACCCUGGCGGGCAGACGCCGAGGUGCACAAGGCACCCCAAUCCAGCCCGCCCCACCCGUGUAUGUGAUAAGGUGUGAUAGUGUCUAUGAUGCAAUUAAAAAUAAAUAAAUAAAUAAAUAAAUAAAAUAAAAUAAAAGAGGAUGGUGUAUCUGUGUGCAUGUAUAUGGAGUGUGUAGUGUGUAGUGUGUAGUGUGUAGUGUAGUGUGGAUGAUAGCUAAUGAUGCAAUUAAAAUCGGGGGACAGCUGCCGCUCGGAGGGCCCCUCACCUGGCCAGCCCCCCCAAACCCUAAGUGUCUACUCUGCGAUUAAAAUUGGGGGGCAACAGGUCAGUGGCACAGCAGGAGCAAAGGAGCCCCGCAAGGCAGCUCCCCUCCCCAAUCACGCCCGACCGUAGGCCACCCCCCAAUGUCCUAUAUAUAUGUGAGGUGGUGCAGUGGCACAGGAAGGACGGGGGCCCCACACCCCAACGCCGCCCAAACCGAGCAGGGGGGGGACCAAGGACACAUGACCGACCGGCCACCCACCACAGCCCAGGCUCGGGCGUGCCGCAGGACACACCACAGGCCCUACCCGGCCCGCCAGGAUGCCCAGUCCGGCCCACCCAACCCCCCAGAGGCGAUACCCCCAGCGCCCCCCAACACCGGAGCCCCACCGGAGGUAGCGUUCACAGCGCCACCCCCAAACCGCCAAACACCACGGACAAGCCACACGCCCCCAAGGCAGAUCCGACCGCCACCAGGACAGCGGGAGCCGCGCCCACGCGCCCCCCGCAUACCACCACGGCCGGCAAGGGAGCAACACCACGACGACCACAAGAGCACCGGACCCCACAUAGAGCGGAGCACGGCCGCACCCACGAAGCACGCAGGCCAGAGGCGCCAGGGAGGGACAGAGAAGCAAGCACCGCACGACCGGGCCCGCGAGAGGAGCGGCCCCCCGCCCGGCGCCCAAGCAGAUGCCCCCGCCCGCCCCGCCCCCCGCCACGCCACAGACCGGCCACCGCCCCACCCCCCGCCCAUCCACCAACACGCCAAGGGGGAAACCCCGGAGGGAGGGAGACAACCGCCGGCCCGGAAGCAAGGACCAGCCUGACACCAGCAGGCAGCAGGGACCGCCCGCCAGCCCCCCGCCAGCCCGACCCCCAAGCCCCCGGCCAAAGCCACCCCCCGACCGCCCCACCCCGGAGCAAGCAUCCUCCCGCCGAUCCCGGGAAGCACCACGCAGAUGGACACCACGCCGCCCGCCCCCACGCGCAACCCGCCCACGGCCCCCACACGCCCCACCCACCGAGCCACAGCGGCCCCGUCCCUGAGGGGAGAAAGCAAGGGAUCCCCCCCACCCCAGCACCACGCACCCCCCACCCCGAGCCCAAACCGCACAUCCGCGACCCCCACCUCCGCGCCCCCCGUCACCCGGGGGACAGCCACAGGCGCCGGAGGAUAACAGGCAGCUCCCACCUAUCACACAUACACCACACACAUAAAUCAGUGAAAUAAAAUAAAAUAAAAUAAAAUAAUUAAAAAAAAAAAAAAUAAAAUAAAAAUAAAUAAAUAAAAAGGGGCAACCCAAACCACCCUCCCACCCAGGGGAGAUGGCUCCGCGGGGGCAGCUGGGCUCAGGCACCCGCGCCCCCACCAGGGGGAGAGGCCGGCCCCCACACCCCACACCGGACGGCCCCACGCGGCAGCCGAGCAGGAGGGCCCAGGGCAGUCCCCGCCCCACCCCCAGAGGCAAAGGAGGCGAGGGAGAGCCAGCGCCACCAGCCGCACACGGGCCCCCCCAGCAGCAGUAGGCGCCCGGCACCCGCAGGAUGCAGCACCCCAUCCACCCACCACCCCGGAGGCCAACCAACGCCGCCCCCUGGGCGACCCCCCCGACCCCGCCCCCGCCCCAUCACCCGACCCGGACCCCUCCCCACCCCCACCCACCAGCCCCCCCAGGCAGGCAGCCCAGCAAAGAAGACCCGGGACACCAAGCCCGCCACCGUCCGCCCCCGAGGUACCAGGCCCACCCAGCGACCAGGACCACACCCCACGCCAGAUGAACGAGACCCCCAGGGGCAGAGACAGAUGCCCUCACCCCCCUGAGAGUCAGGUCAGGGAAUUAAUUAUUGGUGCCCAUAUAGACUGAAAUUCUGACAUUUGUUCUUUAGAUUCAGCAGACAUUCUCUCCAUAGCUAUAUGAUCUAACAAAAGAUUUUUGUAAAGAGCUAUGUUCAGUUUCUUCCUUGAUUUCCAAUUGAUGAGAAUGGUUUUCUUGGCGAUGCUUAAUGCAGUGAUGAGAAGCUGUGUUUGAUUUGUUUCUACAUCAAUUGUGGAGAGAUCGCCCAGCAGGCAUAGUAAAGGAGAGGUAGGAAUGGAGAACCCAAGUGCCAAAGAUAGGUACUCACACACUCCGUGCCAAAAAUUUUUAAUGGGAGCACAGGUCCACAUGGAGUGUAAGUAGUCAUCUAUUCUAUGGUCUGAGCAGUGUGUACAGAUGUUAGAGUCAGUUAAGCCCAUUCUAAACAUUCUAUGUCCUGUGUAGUGUACUCUAUGAAGGAUUUUAAACUGAAUCAGCUGUAGGUUGGGAUUAUUGAUUAACCGGGAAGCAUUAAGACAUAUUUGCUUCCAAAAUUCAGGGUCACAGCUUGUAGAUAAAUCUGAGCUCCAUUUGGAGAUUGGUACUCCAAUUGUGUUGUCAUUUUUUGAAAGUAGAAUAUAUAAUUUAGAUAAUGUUUUAGGGGCAGAUAUUUUUAAAAAUUGGUCAAUAGUGGUAUUGCUUUCCCAUGAUAUGGUCCUGAAACUUGCUUUAAUUAUGGAUUUAAUUUGUAUGUAUUCAAGAAAUUUGUUAUGAUUUAUUCCAUACUGUGUAACAAGGUCGUUAAAUGAGAUAAAGUUGUUUCCUAUAAUUAUAUUUUUCAUACAACUUAUUCCUUUUUCGUGCCAUGUUGGGAAAUUUAAUGGUUUCUUUUUAAGCAAGAUGUCAGGAUUAUUCCAGACGGGAGUGUAUUGGCAAGGAGUGAGCGAGAAUUUUGUUAUUUUUAAAAAUUCCCACCAAGCUGUCAGAGUGUUGCUUAUAUUUAUACUUUUAAAACAAUUAUUUUUUCGGAGGAUUUGGCUAAUGAAGGGCAGGUUACAAAUUGGGAUUUCGUGGCUAAGUGAUUGUUCUAUGUCUAGCCAUAAAUAAUCCAAUGGGUUAGGGUUGAUCCAUUUUAAGAUAUACUGUAACCUGUUUGCAAGGAAGUAGUUGGAGAAGUUUGGGAGUUCUAAGCCCCCAUAUUCUUUAGAUUUUUGUAAUGUUUUGAGACUUAUUCGUGCUGGCUUAUUUUUCCAAAGAAAUUUAUUUAUAUAUGAGUCUAAUGACUUGAACCAAAUUAUAGAUGGUUUAGUGGGGAUCAUGGAAAAUAGAUAAUUAACCUUUGGUAAAAUCAUCAUUUUCACGGUGGAUACUCUGCCUGUAAGUGAGAUGGGCAAGGUUCUCCAACGUGCAAGAUCAUCCUCUAUUGACUUCAAUAGUGGAGUAUAAUUCAAGCGGAUCAGGUCUGACAGGUUGGAGGAAAUGUUAAUACCCAAAUACUUAAUGUUCCCUGAACACAGUGGUAUAGAGGGGGUGCUCUGGAAACCAAAGUUAAUGGGCAGUACUGUGGAUUUAGACCAGUUAAUGGAGUAAUCUGAGAAGGUGCUAUAAUUGUUAAUGAGUGAGAUAGAUUCGUGAAGUGAAGAAUGUGAAUUAUCCAGGAAGAGUAAUACAUCAUCAGCAUAAAGACUUAUCUUAUGAUGAACAUUUGUGGUGUGGAUCCCUUUAAUAUUUAUAUGUUGUCGAAUUGCAGCUGCAAGAGGUUCGAUAAAGAUAGCAAAUAGUGAGGGAGAGAGUGGACACCCUUGCCUAGUACCUCUUUGUAAAGUAAAUUCUGGAGAGAUGUGAUUGUUGGUCCGAACAGAGGCCUUCGGGGUGUUGUAUAGUAUUUUAAUCCAUGUUCUGAAUGAGUCUCCAAAGCCAAAUUUAUGUAGUGUUGCAAAGAGAAAUUUCCAGUUUACUCUGUCAAAUGCUUUUUCAGCAUCCAAUGAGACAAUUGUGGUUUCUAAAUUAUGGAUGAUAGAGUAAUCAAUCAGAUUGAUUAGACGGCGUACAUUGCUAGUUGAGUUUCUCCCCUUAAUAAAUCCUGAUUGAUCAGGGUGUAUUAUAUGAGGGGUAACUUUUUCCAGCCUUAUAGCUAACGCUUUGCAUAUUAUUUUAAGAUCUGCAUUAAUCAGUGAAAUUGGACGAUAACUGGAAGGUAGUGUUGGGUCCUUAUCCGGUUUCAGCAGGAGACUGAUUGUAGCUGAGUUCAUGGUUGGAGGCAAGCAUGAACUGUCUUUAAUUUCCAAAACCAUUCUAAGAAAUAUUGGAGAUAGUAAUGGCCAGAAUGUUUUAUAAAACUCGGCAGGGAAACCGUCAGGUCCUGGUGCUUUAUUAUUCGGCAACCGGUGUAGAGCGUUAUGGAGUUCUAUGAAUGAAAUGGGUACAUCUAAGUUGGUCACCUGUUCGUCAUUUAAUUUUGGUAAUUCUAUGUUGUUGAGAAAUGUUUCGAUAUCUGGGAGAGAUGGUUUAAUCUGAGGUGUAUAUAGAUUUUUAUAAAAGCUCCUAAAGACAGAAUUAAUUUCUUCCGGGAGGUGAGUGAUGUGACCUCCUGAGUUUCUAAUGGAGGAGAUAGAGCUUUUUUCUUUAUUGACUUUUAGCUGGUUAGCUAAGUAUUUUCCGUGUUUAUUGCCAUGCUCAAACUUUUCCAAACGUAGUCUCUGCAGUUGGAACUGAAUUUUCUUGUCAGUAAUUUCUUUUAAGUCUAGUUUCAGUUUCCUUAGGUUACUUAGGAUAUGCUCAUCCUUUGAGUCAGCAUGAGCGGUUUCGAGGAGUUGGAUUUUUUUCUCCAACUCUGAUUCUAGUAAUCUCUCUUUCUUUUUCUUAUAUGAUGAAUAUGAAAUGGUUUUUCCGCGCAUUACUGCUUUUGCUGCCUCCCACAGAAUACUAGCCGAAACACCGGGUUGGUCAUUGAAGUCUAAAAACAUUGUCCACUCUCUUUCAAAGUAUUUUAGGAAGUCUGAGUCUUUUAGUAAUGAUGUAUUUAAUCUCCAGCAUCUAGUAGGAGUGCUCAUUGUUUGGUUAGUGAGAAAAAGAGAGACUGGGGCGUGGUCACUAAUGGUGAUAGGGUGUAUGUGAAUGUUUGAGAUGUCUGAUAUGACUGAGUUGCUUGUCAAAAAGUAGUCAAUACGAGAGUAGGUGUGGUGCACUGGUGAGAAAUAGGUAUAUUCCCUGUGAGUAGGGUGAUAAGAGCGCCAAGCAUCACAAAGACCAAAAUCAUUCAUGUAUUUCUUCAGUGUCGAUGUUGAUUGAGACUCACGAUGUCUCCCAGCUGGGCAAGACCUGUCCACUUCUGGGUUAAAUACUAAGUUGAGGUCCCCUCCCAAGAUCAUAUUUGUAUCCAAAUGUGCAGAGAGAGAAGAAAAGAAGGCAUGAAAGAAGGAGGGGUCGUCAACAUUCGGACCAUAUAUGUUGGCAAUGCAGAAAUGUACAUUAUCAACAGAUAUGUUCAUAAUUAUAUAUCUCCCUUCUGUGUCUGUAAUAGUGUUGUGGAGUGUAAAAUUCACCCUCCUGUUAAUUAAAAUAGCUACCCCUCUCUGUUUGGAGUUGUAACUUGCUAAAUAUGUGUGUGGGAACUGUGGUGAGUGAAGUGUAUGGACAGCUGACUUGGACAUGUGAGUCUCUUGUAAUAAGACAAUGUCUGCUUGGGUGUUUUUCAAAUGAUUAAAAAUUUUUUGUCUUUUUUCUAUCGACCCAACUCCCCUGACAUUCCAAGUGACAAACUGUAGUGAGUUCAUCCUACACUAGCUUUUGGUGAUGUGUGUGUAAACAAGAUCAAAUGCAAAGUAUGUGUACCUGGAAGUAAAAUUAAUGGGAGUAUAUACAGUACAUAAUGUAUGCUUAAUUUGUACAUAGGCAAAGUGUAACAUAGUAAUCCUGAAUGAACUAAGACAACUAAAGUGAGGACGUGAUGUGGGUUUAUGCAUAAGUGAGAUGAGCGUGCUUGUGAGUAGUUGUGAUAUCCGUAUCAAUAGUGGAAUAUGAUGUGUAUGUGUAGAAGAAUGCGUGCACGUGUGUGUAUUUGUGUGAAUAGCUUGAAUUUGGUUGGGAUUGGACUUUGAGGGUGUAUGAUGUCACUGUGAGGAGAUGCUGAUUGAAGGAGACAGCUGGCAGACAAGAGGAUAUGUGACAAUAUGAGGAGGGGAGAAAACGUGAGACAGAGGGGGGAAUAGAAGAGGAAGAAAUAGAAGAAGAAAAAAAAUGACAAAAAAAGAAGAAAGGCUGUGCAUACAUACAGUGGGAUAGAGAGAGAAAAAAAAACGGGGGGGAGGGGUAAAGUGGAAGCAGACAGUAACAUUGUAAACGCUACAAGUGUGCGCGCUGCGAGAUAGAAAGAAAAGUUACCUGGUUGAGAUAGAUCAUUAGUUACCAUAUCAAUACAGCCACGGUGUUACUUCCCGGUCGCGGUAAAGUUGUCCAUUAACGAAGAGUUUAUCCACCGUGAUGACAGCUCGGCAUCCCUCGUUGAUGAACUUCCUCCGAACAGGGAAUAGGCGUCGGCGCCUGUCGAGGAUUUCUCGGGGGAAUUGAUCGUUGACGCUGAAGUCCGUCCCCUUCAGCUCCCGACCUCGGCCCUUCACCUGUUCCUUCUGCUUGAAAUGUUCAAAUUUCGCCACGAUGGGUCUCGGCCUACGGUUCUCUGGCUUCUUGGCUCCCAAGCGGUGAACGCGAUGAAAAGUGAUGUUUUGGAUGGCGUCCGCUGGGAGUUUGAGUUGUUGCGCCAUGAAGGCCCUCACCGCUUCUUCCGGGUCCUCCUCAGAUUUUUCGGGAAUUCCCGCGAAGACCAGAUUGUCCCUCAUGCUCCGGGCCUGGAGGUCUAGAAUCGUCUCCUUCAUGGUCUUGUUUUCCUGGACGAGUUGUGAAACUCCGUCGGUGAGGGACUUCACCGACUCGCGGAGGGUGGCGUUCUCCGUAACCAAGGAGACGAUCUGGUUUUGGCUGAAUUCCAGAGAUUCACGGAUGGCCUGGAAUUCUUUGUGAAGUACCUCGACGAGAGCGAGGCGGCCGUCCAGGCAAAUCAGCCUCUUGUCGAUGGACUCAAGGAUGUCUUUGAUGUCAGUGCCUGGCGGAGAUAUUCCUCCAGGUGAGUCUUCUGGACGGCUCCGUUUGGGGUUUGGUGUCUUCGGUGAUUUUCCCAUAACUACACGUUCGAAGCACCCGUCGAUGUACUCCUCCAGAUCUUCCAGUUUGGGUUGGUUAGGCGUCUAAGGUGUUUAAUUUGCUGGUUUUGUGUCGAGAUACUUUGCGGAUGUUUUAAUAGUUGAUUGUUUGUCUUUUUUUUUCCGAGCGCUAUGUUCCGCUUGUCUGUAUUCCGCGCGUCACGCACACUCUCGCGAGAUUACAGCAUCACGUCACGUCCCAGCCAACCCACCAAUUUGGUAUGGAAUAUGGAAUAUGGAAUAUGGAAUUUUUUCGUAAUACGAUGCAAAAACUUCACAUAAAUUCUUUACGUUCAGUGGAAUUUACGUAAAAGGAGGUUUACGUUAUGCGAGGAACUACUCUAUUUUAAUCUAUCGGUCGGUAAUCAUGUUUCCUCUGCUUUUAGACACAUUUUGCACUGGCUGUGCCGGAUGCAUCAGGAGAUGGUAAAGGCUUGAAGUGAUGUUUCACCAUUUCAAUCCAAACUGGCAGCACUUACAGUAAAAUGCCCCUGCUCACUCCUCUUGCCUUUUGUAGCCCCAGCUGUGCUGCCUCCGAGGGUACCUUUUCCACAGGAGUUGAUGUUUCUGCUGCCAGACCACAGAAGAGACCCCAGGGCCUGCGCCAUAGACCGUAUGCUCUCCCGGGAGUCCUGCAGCCUCCACUCCAUCUGCAUCAGAGCCACAAACUUGUGGAUGAGUAGUAUGCCGCUCUUGUCCACAAGUCCAGCAGAGACCCCAACAGCUUGCUCCAUCCAACAACAAAAUGACACAUUCUCCAAUACAUAAAACACAUCAGUAAAUUGCUUGCCACAUCCUCUUCACUACCAGCCCAGAGAAGCUGCAAUAAACACAGCAGUAUUUGUUGCAGUCGCUAAGCACUCCCACUACUGUGCCUGUCGUGACACUGCCUGCAGCCACGGUUAUUCCUCCAUCAACACCUGCUCAUACCCUGGUGGAGCAGCAGCAACCCCCGCUUUGUCCAAAAUAACUCAUACAAAGAAAUGUCUGGCCUGUGGCCAACGCAAAACUAAAUAUGGUGAUGGGACAUCCAUUCAUGAGUUCGAUCAACGAGAAAAAAAAGCAGAAAGUGCCGGUUCUGCAAGAUGCAGCUGAAGCAGGGCCCGAAUAGCCCCCACAUCCACACAGGCUUUCCAGGGCAGCCAGGGAAGUACAUCUACUGCCCUGCCAAGGUGUUCUCCAUCUACAGAGCGCAUGGGAUGGAAAAAGAGAUGAGCUGGAGGGAGUUCCAGCACUCUCCUUCCUAUGAAAAGGAGAAACAACGGCGGGAAAGUCAAUGAACAAUAUAUUAUUCAUAGCUGUUUAUAAUAUAUGAAUCAUAUUUUACAUUUAAGAGUGUU